GGCGCCCGGAGCGCGCAUCUGGGGGGCGCCCUCUUCGCAAGCGCCGCUGCUGUAGCUUUCGACCCAGAUAUGCUUGUUUUGGGAGAGAUCCUGGCUUUCCCAGGAAGCCAAGUUUGAAGGUCUCGCGCACUGCGGUUGCCUCAAGCGUGUUAUGGCGACGCGCGGGCGCGAGUACACACUGGAGGUUAAAGGGUUCGUAUGUGGUGCGCAGAGGGAAGGCUGCUGUGUUUGCCAGGCUGGGGGUCGGGGAUUUGAAGGGCGAGGCUCAGAAGAGGGUGGUCUCCUUGCGUUUGUUUUCUUGAAAAAGAGCCCCACGGAGCUCAGUCCCAAAGAAACGUACCUGAGACUGGGGUGUUAAGCAUAGCUGUCAACUUCUCCCUUUUCUUGCGAGGAAUCCUAUUCGGAAUAAGGGAAUUUCCCGUUAAAAAAGGGAAACGUUGACAGCUAUGGAAGGGGUUUUGGGGAGAAUUAAAGUUAGACCAUCUUUCGGUGGUGCCCUCAGGACAAGGCUAGGGGGCCCUCCUCAGCAGGAGAAGUAGGAGGGUCCCCCAAAUGCUGUAGCAUUUGCGAAGAGGUGAAGUAAUAAAUGGGAAAGCUAUCAAACCAGUCCGGAGUCUAAAAUUGCCCGACUGCACCACUACCUUCCUCCAGCUUGUGAGACUUACUAGGAAGUGUCAUAAAACACAAUGGGCCUAAGACUAGUAAACAUGUACAAGAUUCAUAGCUGUCAACUUUCAGAUUUGAAAAUAAGGCAUCAGCAGCCUCGAAAAUAAGGGAUCAGCAGCCUCACCUGUCCCAGGGACAGUGUACGGGAUAUCUAACAAUCCGGGAUAGCAGCGGGAAACGGAGCUGGAAUAAGGGAAUUUCCAGCAAAAAAAGGGAAGGUUGACAGCUAUGACAAGAUUGCUCUGCUUGUCUGUUGCAGGAAAAAAAAGAAAAGCUGGCAAGAAAAAUGCCUUGUAAUUAGCACCUUGGUAGCGAACAGAUUUAUUUUAGCAUAUCCUUUGGUGGGUUAGAGUCUACUUAAUCAGAUGCAUGAAGUGGCAAAGCAGGCUUGGUUUCAUAAAAAUGUAUGCCACAACAAAUCUGUUGGUCUUUAUAUCAGGGAUGGGGAACAUGUGACCCUCCAAAUGUUCUUGGAUUACAACUCUCACCAGCCAUUAUAGCCAGUGGUCAAGUGUAAUGAGACUUGUUGUCAUAUCUAUUUGCAGCAUUGCUAGAAUGAAGGGUGACUGUGACCCCCUCACUCACUCAUUCAUGCUUGGCCAUGGUUUGGCUUAGUAUUAUAUGCGAACCAGCCCAGUGUAUCUGUUGGAACAGAGAGACUAGACAGAAAAGGUCUGGGUUAGCGGUUCUGUCCAAAUAGUAGCAAGCUACCUAGAGAGAUCCCAUUGUUUUUCUUUACUGUUUGCUUGUCAUGCUGCCUGUGUUUCAAAAGUAGGCAUUCAGAUGUUAACCAUUUCUUUUUAAAAUUGGGGCCUCAGGGACUAAUGUAAAGUGAGAGCAGCCAGUUCCCAUGUUCUCCAGGCUGCUCUGUUUUUGUGACACUGGUCUGGGGGCUGGGAUAUUAUUUUUUUGCACAGAAAAUUUGCAUCACUUAGCAGCAAGGGGUGGGAAGAAUGUUUUCGAAAGUAAGAAAUAACCACCCCCACCCCGCACAGUGAUACCCUGAUCCAUUUUGCAUCUCCCCCCCUACAGUGGAUCCAAUCAUGGCACAUCAGUUUGGCCUGUGAUACUAAAAUGAAAAUAAAAUCAAUGCCUACUUAAUCUACAUCAACUAAAAUGAGAAGGAAACCUGGUGCUCAGGCUUCAUCUUCGGCAAGUCUACAGCCAAAAUGAGAAUAUUGAAAGCCAGUGUGAUCUCACACACCAAAUUAGUACCGUUAAUUAUCAGCAUGACACUGCAGUUCAUUUGGUAAAUUAUCAAAGGAUAAUUUAACUGGGCAAUAUAGUUGAGAUUAUCUAUACUAAUUGGGAUCUUUUAAAGAGACAUUUGCUAUUAAGCAACAUCAGUACAUGAUGUAUUAAUUACAAGUUGUUACCUUUCCUUGUAUGCUAGCAUGAAAUGGAAUGGAGGAAAUAAUUAAAAUAAUUCCUCAGCAAUCCUGUUUGUCCCACCAAUGAGUGUUAGGGAGGCAAUGCAGACGUGCCUUUUAAGCUGCAUUCCAAGUUGAAAUUUAGCAGAUGAAACCAUCACAGAUGAUGGGAGUUGUAGUCCAGUACUGUAUACUGGAGGCCACGUACUAAUUCUCCAGUGAUUAUGAAAGCUACCAAUUAUUUGUCAAAAAUCCUGAAGGUCCUAUAGAUGCCUACUACCCAAGAUUACUUCAUAGGGUUUUAGCAUAUUUCCAUUUACUUUCACCACCCCUUUGUUGUCAGUCAAACUAUAAGUUAGAAAGUGGAAGCAGAAAAUUUAUGAACUGAUACCUAGGCCAGCUGGAAUACUUUCAACAAAAGGUUUGGACUCGUGAAGGUAACUAGAUAUGGCAGGUGGGUUGUGUUGUGUGUGGUUGCAGUGGUCUAAUUAUCUAUGUAAGCGUAUAUGAAAAAUGGUACCUUGUAGAACUGAAAUGUAAUCAAUAGCAAGCCAAAGAUUAAAGGUGUACUUUACCUGG